GAGAGUUUGAUCCUGGCUCAGGACGAACGCUGGCGGCGUGCCUAAUACAUGCAAGUUCGAACGAAGCUGUUUUAACUGGUGCUUGCACGACUUAAACAACUGAGUGGCGAACGGGUGAGUAACACGUGGGUAACCUGCCCCAAAGCGGGGGAUAACAUUUGGAAACAGAUGCUAAUACCGCAUAACCACAGAAACCACAUGGUUUCUGUGUCAAAGAUGGUUUCGGCUAUCACUUUGGGAUGGACCCGCGGCGUAUUAGCUAGUUGGUAAGGUAACGGCUUACCAAGGCAAUGAUACGUAGCCGAACUGAGAGGUUGAUCGGCCACAUUGGGACUGAGACACGGCCCAAACUCCUACGGGAGGCAGCAGUAGGGAAUCUUCCACAAUGGACGAAAGUCUGAUGGAGCAACGCCGCGUGAGUGAAGAAGGUUUUCGGAUCGUAAAACUCUGUUGUCAGAGAAGAACGUGUGCGAGAGUAACUGUUCGUGCAGUGACGGUAUCUGGCCAGAAAGCCACGGCUAACUACGUGCCAGCAGCCGCGGUAAUACGUAGGUGGCAAGCGUUGUCCGGAUUUAUUGGGCGUAAAGGGAACGCAGGCGGUCUUUUAAGUCUGAUGUGAAAGCCUUCGGCUUAACCGAAGUCGUGCAUUGGAAACUGGGAGACUUGAGUGCAGAAGAGGAGAGUGGAACUCCAUGUGUAGCGGUGAAAUGCGUAGAUAUAUGGAAGAACACCAGUGGCGAAAGCGGCUCUCUGGUCUGUAACUGACGCUGAGGUUCGAAAGCGUGGGUAGCAAACAGGAUUAGAUACCC
rnacentral:rRNA from 1 species